GUCUUGUAGAGGGGGUAGAAUUCCAGGUGUAGCGGUGAAAUGCGUAGAGAUCUGGAGGAAUACCGGUGGCGAAGGCGGCCCCCUGGACAAAGACUGACGGCUCAGGAUGCGAAAGCGUGGGGAGCAAACAGGAUUAGAUACCCUGGUAGUCCACGCCGUAAACGAUGUCGAUUUGGAGGUUGUGCCCUUGAGGCGUGCUUCCGGAGCUAACGCGUUAAAUCGACGCCUGGGGAGUACGGCCGCAAGGUUAAAACUCAAAUGAAUUGACGGGGGCCCGCACAAGCGGUGGAGCAUGUGGUUUAAUUCGAUGCAACGCGAAGAACCUUACCUGGUCUUGACAUCCACAGAACUUUCCAGAGAUGGAUUGGUGCCUUCGGGAACUGUGAGACAGGUGCUGCAUGGCUGUCGUCAGCUCGUGUUGUGAAAUGUUGGGUUAAGUCCCGCAACGAGCGCAACCCUUAUC
rnacentral:rRNA from 1 species